ACCAAAUCCUGAAAUGAAAAACAAAAAUUGCAGAGAAAUGAAUUAAUAAACUUUCAAACUGAAUACUGACCAGAGAAUGUGGAUAAUUUGGAAGGGAUUCUUUAAAGAUAGAAGACUGAAGACCAGCCGACAUACUGCACCAGAAUUCCAGCUAAAGGCAUGGCGAUUACCGCUCCGGCGUAGGAACCUGAUGAUAUCAAACAUCACUGACUACAAUACAAGACACCAACAACGGGGAGUUCAAAUGUGUCUUAAUGACCGUAGUCAAAUCAAAGACAUGCAUUAGAGUCAUUGAGCAAACACCGUCAAAAUGAGCCAUUAGUGCUGCCCUUACUGAGAGGGUGUUUUAGCCUGUUUUCUGCAGUCUGAUGCCUUCAUGUCUAUAGAGCAGCAACGCUGAGAGGGUUUUUGGACAUUAAACAGUGUGACACUUCAUUUAGAUGAAUGGACAAGGAAGCUCCUUCAGUUUACACAGAGGCAGCAAGCGUCAGCAUCUGCAAAGCAAAGCAAGCUCACUCAUGUCCAUUUACUUGCCGUACUCCCUGUGACUUGUGAGGAGGUUGCAUCAAAGAUGUUUGGAAUGGUAAAAAAAACUCAGAGCUGCUGUUUGUUAGAUUAA